rnacentral:rRNA from 1 species
AGAGUUUGAUCCUGGCUCAGGACGAACGCUGGCGGCGUGCCUAACACAUGCAAGUCGAACGGGACCGGGGGCAACUCCGGUUCAGUGGCGGACGGGUGCGUAACACGUGAGGAACAUGACUUUCGGCGGGGGAUAGCCGGCCCAACGGCCGGGUAAUACCGCGUACGACCCAAUGGAGACAUCUCCGCUGGGUGAAAGCAGCAAUGCACCGAAAGAGUGCCUCGCGGCCUAUCAGCUAGUUGGUGGGGUAAUGGCUCACCAAGGCGACGACGGGUAGCUGGUCUGAGAGGAUGGCCAGCCACAUUGGGACUGAGACACGGCCCAGACUCCUACGGGAGGCAGCAGUGGGGAAUAUUGCGCAAUGGGCGAAAGCCUGACGCAGCGACGCCGCGUGUGGGAUGACGGCCUUCGGGUUGUAAACCACUGUCGGGGGGGACGAAUGCGCCGCAAGGCGAGUGACGGUACCUCCAAAGGAAGCACCGGCUAACUCCGUGCCAGCAGCCGCGGUAAUACGGAGGGUGCGAGCGUUGUCCGGAAUCACUGGGCGUAAAGGGCGCGUAGGCGGCCUGAUAAGUAGGGGGUGAAAUCCUGCGGCUUAACCGCAGGGCUGCCUUCUAAACUGUCAGGCUAGAGCACGGUAGAGGCAGAUGGAAUUCCCGGUGUAGCGGUGGAAUGCGUANAGAUCGGGAAGA